rnacentral:rRNA from 1 species
AGCAGCCGCGGUAAUUCCAGCUCCAAUAGCGUAUAUUAAAGUUGUUGCAGCUAAAAAGCUCGUAGUUGAAUUUCGGGAUCAAUUAAUUGGUCGUGCCUAUGGUACGUACUGAUUUUAUUGGUUUCUCCCUUCUGACGAACCAUGAUGUCAUUAAUUUGGUGUCGUGGAGAAUCAGGACUGUUACUUUGAAAAAUUAGAGUGUUUAAAGCAGGCUAACGCUUGAAUACAUUAGCAUGGAAUAAUGAAAUAGGACGUUUGAUCCUAUUUUGUUGGUUUCUAGAAUCGACGUAAUGAUUAAUAGGGAUAGUUGGGGGCAUUAGUAUUCAAUUGUCUAGAGGUGAAAUUCUUGGAUUUAUUGAAGACUAACUACUGCGAAAGC